CCCGCACAAGCGGUGGAGCAUGUGGUUUAAUUCGAUGCAACGCGAAGAACCUUACCUGGGCUUGACAUCUCGGGAAUCCCCUGGAAACAGGGGAGUGCCCUUCGGGGAGCCCGAAGACAGGUGCUGCAUGGCUGUCGUCAGCUCGCGUCGUGAGAUGUUGGGUUAAGUCCCGCAACGAGCGCAACCCUUGUCUUUAAUUGCCAUCAUUAAGUUGGGCACUUUAAAGAGACUGCCGGUGUCAAACCGGAGGAAGUGGGGAUGACGUCAAGUCCUCAUGGCCUUUAUGCCCAGGGCUACACACGUGCUACAAUGGGCGGUACAAAGAGCAGCGAACUCGCGAGAGUAAGCGAAUCUCAAAAAGCCGUCCUCAGUUCGGAUUGGAGUCUGCAACUCGACUCCAUGAAGUUGGAAUCGCUAGUAAUCGCGGAUCAGCAUGCCGCGGUGAAUACGUUCCCGGGCCUU
rnacentral:rRNA from 1 species